GGGGAAGGCGUCCCCACCCUACGAUGUGCAGAUUGUGGAUGAUGAGGGCAACGUCCUGCCUCCUGGAGAAGAGGGGAAUGUUGCCAUCCGUAUCAGACCCACCCGGCCCUUCUGUUUCUUCAAUUGCUAUUUGGACAAUCCUGAGAAGACAGCUGCGUCAGAACAAGGGGACUUUUACAUCACAGGGGACCGAGCUCGCAUGGACAAGGAUGGCUACUUUUGGUUCAUGGGAAGAAACGACGAUGUGAUCAAUUCUUCAAGGUCAAGCUGUCUGCACUUUCCUCCUCCCUUUGAAAUUUCAUGGGGGUUGAGGGAAGCCCACUUGGAAGAGUUUGUUUUUCCCUUCCAGCUACCGGAUCGGGCCUGUUGAAGUGGAAAGUGCCCUGGCAGAGCAUCCGGCUGUCCUGGAGUCGGCUGUGGUCAGCAGCCCAGACCCCAUCAGGGGAGAGGUGGUAAAGGCAUUUAUAGUCCUUACUCCAGCCUACUCCUCUCAUGACCCAGAGGCACUAACGCGGGAACUCCAGGAACAUGUGAAAAGGGUGACUGCUCCAUACAAAUACCCCAGGAAG
rnacentral:sRNA from 1 species